UUUCACCGUAGCUGCCCUCGGAGGCCAAGGUGGAGACAUAAUUCCACUUGAGGGCUUUGACAAUGUCCACCAUGGCCUGGGCCUGGGGCUCUGAUCUGCGCGUUGGGGAUCUCUGACUGGAGCCGGUGCAUGAGACUCCAUUAAAAUUCUGCUCAGCAGGGCACUGGCGAUGGAGACUUCCCAGCUAUUCCCCACGGCACCGCUGUCCCACCCAAGUUCCAACAGCCUGCCCUGGCCUGCCCAUC